rnacentral:other from 16 species
UUUACCCUGGGGGGGUUCGUCAGCGGAUUUAUGUCCCUGAGCCGAAUAAGCAACAUAACAGGGUUGGUAUUGGGGUAGCUAUUGAGCAAGCUCGGCUUGUACCCGAGAAGCCUGCGGUUACCAUUACUGAUCCCGCCUUGAACCUGAUGGUUCAAGGGCUACGAUCCUUCAACGGCAUUCCCGGGGUUCCC